AGUGAACGCUGGCGGUAGGCCUAACACAUGCAAGUCGAACGGCAGCACAGUAAGAGCUUGCUCUUACGGGUGGCGAGUGGCGGACGGGUGAGGAAUACAUCGGAAUCUACUUUUUCGUGGGGGAUAACGUAGGGAAACUUACGCUAAUACCGCAUACGACCUACGGGUGAAAGCAGGGGAUCUUCGGACCUUUCCCGAUUGAUUGAGCCGAUGUCGGAUUAGCUAGUUGGCGGGGUAAAGGCCCACCAAGGCGACGAUCCGUAGCUGGUCUGAGAGGAUGAUCAGCCACACUGGAACUGAGACACGGUCCAGACUCCUACGGGAGGCAGCAGUGGGGAAUAUUGGACAAUGGGCGCAAGCCUGAUCCAGCCAUACCGCGUGGGUGAAGAAGGCCUUCGGGUUGUAAAGCCCUUUUGUUGGGAAAGAAAAGCAGCAGGUUAAUACCCCGCUGUUCUGACGGUACCCAAAGAAUAAGCACCGGCUAACUUCGUG
rnacentral:rRNA from 1 species